AAGUCGUAACAAGGUUUCCGUAGGUGAACCUGCGGAAGGAUCAUUAACACGUAUCCACGUAUCCACCCAACGCGCACCCGUUUUCCCUUCUCCCUCUAGAGCAGAGAACGAAUCGAGUCGACAGCAAAGUACGAGUGGGGUCCCUCAAAGGCCUAUCUGCUGUUCACCACUGAGGCUUCGGCCUCGACGAUUGCAUUUCUGUGGAGGUUCAUUUCUUUACUACUUGGGUUUCCAACUCUGCCGUGGUAGUAAGGAUACUUUUAAUUUAACCUAUCUCACCCCUUUUUGCUAGUUGACUUUUAUAUGUUGUUACUUGCGCUUUGCGCAUGGAGCACACGUUUAAUUAUUUGAACGUUAAAAAUACAACUCUUAGCAAUGGAUAUCUUGGUUCUC
rnacentral:misc_RNA from 1 species